rnacentral:rRNA from 1 species
AGAGUUUGAUCCUGGCUCAGAAUCAACGCUGGCGGCGCGCUUAACACAUGCAAGUCGCACGAGAAAGUGGAGCAAUCCAUGAGUAAAGUGGCGUACGGGUGAGUAACACGUGGAUCAUCUACCUCUUAGUGGGGAAUAACCCUGGGAAACCGGGGCUAAUACCGCAUGAGCCUGAAAAGGGAAAGCAGCAAUGCGCUGAGAGAGGAGUCCGCGGCCGAUUAGCUAGUUGGUAGGGUAAUGGCCUACCAAGGCAAUGAUCGGUAGCCGGCCUGAGAGGGCACACGGCCACACUGGCACUGAAACACGGGCCAGACUCCUACGGGAGGCAGCAGUGGGGAAUCUUGCACAAUGGAGGAAACUCUGAUGCAGCGACGCCGCGUGAGCGAUGAAGCCCUUCGGGGUGUAAAGCUCUUUCGACGGGAACGAUAAUGACGGUACCCGGAGAAGAAGCUGCGGCUAACUACGUGCCAGCAGCCGCGGUAAUACGUAGGCAGCAAGCGUUGUUCGGAAUUACUGGGCGUAAAGAGUGUGUAGGCGGUUCUCUAUGUUCGGUGUGAAAUCUCCCGGCUUAACUGGGAGGGUGCGCCGAAAACUGGAGGGCUCGAGUAUGGGAGAGGAAAGCGGAAUUCCUGGUGUAGCGGUGAAAUGCGUAGAUAUCAGGAGGAACACCUGAGGUGUAGACGGCUUUCUGGACCAUCACUGACGCUGAGACACGAAAGCGUGGGUAGCAAACAGGAUUAGAUACCCUAGUAGUCC